CCGGGCAGUCGCUGGUUUUCGCAAGGAAGCUGGAGGAAAGUCCGGACACUACAGAGCAGUGUGCCUCUUGAAAAAGAGGGACGGUGAUUCGAGAGGAUCGCUGGACAGAUUAGUGCCGCAGAAAACAGACCGCCUUCUUCGGGAGGUAAGGGUGAAAAGGUGGGGUAAGAGCCCACCGCGCCGAGGGUGACCGAGGUGGCAGGGUAAACCUCUCACAGUGCAAGACAGAACAGGGGAAGGGCUGCUCGCCCGUUAAAUCCCCGGGUAAUAGUCGCAAAGAUAAAUGACUGCCGAAGCGUGGAUAGGCCACGUGGAACAGAAUCCGGCUUACAGGGG
rnacentral:RNase_P_RNA from 1 species